rnacentral:sRNA from 1 species
GCUGGGUUUGGUGAUACCGGCCUAUAAUCCCAGAGUUAGGAGGCUGAGAUGGGAGGAUCACUUGAGCCCAGGAGUUCAAGAUUACCCUGAGCAACAUAGUGGAAACUCGCUUCCA